AACAUCACAGCGGAUUUUAAAAGUGCCACCUUGUGAUUACGAGAAUAUCAAUAAAAAUGUUCCCUUUAUCUUUUCGCAGAUGAGGACCCAGGUCAACCUUAUCUAUAAGGCGGGAUACACAUUCUCACUGGCGGCUCUACUGUUGUCGAUAAUAAUUUUUUUCUAUUUCAAAUCGUUGACAUGCACUCGGAUACAGAUACAUAAAAACCUUUUCAUAUCGCUGGCCGUGAACAAUCUCCUCUGGUUGGUAUGGUACGAAGCUGUUGUCGACAACAUACCUGUUUUAUUGUCGAACGGAAUUGGAUGCCAAAUACUUCACGUCCUAGUCCAGUAUUUUAUGGUCGCCACUUACCUGUGGAUGUUCUGCGAAGGGCUUUACCUCCACACCCUCCUAGUCGUCACUUUUGUCACCGAGUCGAAAGUCAUGCCCGUACUGCAUCUGAUCGGAUGGGGCGUCCCUGCCCUCCUCGUCACAGUCUAUGCUUCCCUCAGGGUUUCAACGAAAGACGAUACCUUGCACUGCUGGAUCCACGAAUCCCUGUAUUCUUGGUCACUGUCCGGGCCAGUUUGCCUCAGCAUGAUCGCCAAUCUUGUCUUCCUCAUAAACAUUGUUCGUCUUCUGCUUACCAAGUUGCACUCGGCAGCGCAUACUAGUCCAAGAUCUUCCUUUAAAGAAAAAAACCCCUCGAUACGUUCAAAAAGAAGAAGUACUAUCAGCAGCCAGGGUCUCCCUUCCGGAAGGACGAAGAAGGCUGUUAGGGCAACGUUGAUUCUCAUCCCUUUAUUGGGUUUGCAGUACAUAGUUACCCCGUUUCGGCCAGAACAGGGCACAUCCUGGGAAUAUCCAUAUCAGGUCACUUCUGCCUUGGUAGCAAGUUGCCAGGGACUAUGUGUUGCGUUGUUGUUUUGUUUCUUCAACGGAGAGGUUGUAGCGGCCAUGAGGAAAAGGUGGCGACAGUGCAGGCUGAGUAAAAAGCCACCAUGGCACUCUUGCUCUGGUGUUACUUCAGUUUCGAGACAUCGAAGGAUAUGGUGAAACCCAGUGAAAACAAGAAAUCUCAAACAAACGAUGUGAGUUUAUUCGUAAGGUUUAGUCUUCAUUAGUACUCGAAUGAUCAUGUUGUUUGUUUUGUCAUUUUAACUAGACAGAAACUGAAAUGAAUGUUGAUUGUGAUUGUACGAAGUUAGUGGUAUUUAUUUAUGAACUACUACAAUGAAAUUUAUGUAUUUAUAAC
rnacentral:misc_RNA from 1 species